rnacentral:tRNA from 1 species
GUUAUGAUAGAUUAACUUCAAAUCACUGAAUUGUGGUUUCAGAAAUGUAUUAUUUAUACCCAUAACC